GGACCAUCAUGUCGGUCGUGCCUCGGUACGUACUGGCAUCGUCGGUUUCUCCCUUCUGACGAACCACGAUGUCAUUAAUUUGGUGUCAUGGGGAAUCAGGACUGUUACUUUGAAAAAAUUAGAGUGUUUAAAGCAGGCUCACGCUUGAAUACAUUAGCAUGGAAUAACGAAAUAGGACGUUUGAUUCUAUUUUGUUGGUUUCUAGGAUUGACGUA
rnacentral:rRNA from 1 species